AAAUCUUAAAAAAUUUAAACUGCAAAUUUAAUAAAGAAUAAAAUUCUAAGAUUUU
rnacentral:tRNA from 1 species